rnacentral:tRNA from 1 species
GGCGGGGUAGCUCAGGCGGUUAGAGCGCACGACUCAUAAUCGUGAGGUCGCGGGUUCGAACCCCGCCCCCGCUACC